UCGGAGUUGCUAGUAAUCCCGAAUCAGCAUGUCGGGGUGAAUGCGUUCCCGGGUCUUGUACACACCGCCCGUCAAGCCAUGGGAGUUGGGAGUACCCAAAGUCGGUAGCCUAACCGCAAGGAAGGAGCCGCCUAAGGUAAUACCAAUGACUGGGGUUAAGUCGUAACAAGGUAGC
rnacentral:rRNA from 1 species